GACGAACCGAGCGGACGUUGUUCGGAAUCACUGGGCUUAAAGGGCGCGUAGGCGGGCCGCCAAGUCCGUGGUGAAAUCCCCCGGCUCAACCGGGGAAGUGCCUCGGAUACUGGCGGCCUCGAGGGGGGUAGGGGCGUGCGGAACUUCCGGUGGAGCGGUGAAAUGCGUAGAUAUCGGAAGGAACACCGGUGGCGAAAGCGGCGCGCUGGACCCCAUCUGACGCUGAGGCGCGAAAGCCAGGGGAGCGAACGGG
rnacentral:rRNA from 1 species